UACAGAGGGGGCAAGCGUUGUUCGGAAUUACUGGGCGUAAAGGGCGCGUAGGCGGCCUACUAAGUCGGACGUGAAAUCCCUCGGCUCAACCGGGGAACUGCGUCCGAUACUGGUGGGCUCGAAUCCGGGAGAGGGAUGUGGAAUUCCAGGUGUAGCGGUGAAAUGCGUAGAUAUCUGGAGGAACACCGGUGGCGAAGGCGGCAUCCUGGACCGGUAUUGACGCUGAGGCGCGAAAGCUAGGGGAGCAAACGGG
rnacentral:rRNA from 1 species